rnacentral:rRNA from 1 species
CGCUUGCAUCUUGAUUUAAUUUUGAACGAGUGGCGGACGGGUGAGUAACACGUGGGUAACCUGCCCUUAAGUGGGGGAUAACAUUUGGAAACAGAUGCUAAUACCGCAUAAAUCCAAGAACCGCAUGGUUCUUGGCUGAAAGAUGGCGUAAGCUAUCGCUUUUGGAUGGACCCGCGGCGUAUUAGCUAGUUGGUGAGGUAACGGCUCACCAAGGCAAUGAUACGUAGCCGAACUGAGAGGUUGAUCGGCCACAUUGGGACUGAGACACGGCCCAAACUCCUACGGGAGGCAGCAGUAGGGAAUCUUCCACAAUGGACGCAAGUCUGAUGGAGCAACGCCGCGUGAGUGAAGAAGGCUUUCGGGUCGUAAAACUCUGUUGUUGGAGAAGAAUGGUCGGCAGAGUAACUGUUGUCGGCGUGACGGUAUCCAACCAGAAAGCCACGGCUAACUACGUGCCAGCAGCCGCGGUAAUACGUAGGUGGCAAGCGUUAUCCGGAUUUAUUGGGCGUAAAGCGAGCGCAGGCGGUUUUUUAAGUCUGAUGUGAAAGCCCUCGGCUUAACCGAGGAAGUGCAUCGGAAACUGGGAAACUUGAGUGCAGAAGAGGACAGUGGAACUCCAUGUGUAGCGGUGAAAUGCGUAGAUAUAUGGAAGAACACCAGUGGCGAAGGCGGCUGUCUGGUCUGUAACUGACGCUGAGGCUCGAAAGCAUGGGUAGCGAACAGGAUUAGAUACCCUGGUAGUCCAUGCCGUAAACGAUGAAUGCUAGGUGUUGGAGGGUUUCCGCCCUUCAGUGCCGCAGCUAACGCAUUAAGCAUUCCGCCUGGGGAGUACGACCGCAAGGUUGAAACUCAAAGGAAUUGACGGGGGCCCGCACAAGCGGUGGAGCAUGUGGUUUAAUUCGAAGCAACGCGAAGAACCUUACCAGGUCUUGACAUCUUUUGAUCACCUGAGAGAUCAGGUUUCCCCUUCGGGGGCAAAUGACAGGG